GACGAACGCUGGCGGCGUGCCUAAUACAUGCAAGUAGGACGCAGUUGCGAACGGGUGAGUAACGCGUAGGUAACUGCCUAUCAGAGGGGGAUAACUAUUGGAAACGAUAGCUAAUACCGCAUAUUAGUAGAUGGACCUGCGUUGUAUUUGCUAGUAGGUUGGGUAAUGGCCUACCUAGGCGACGAUACAUAGCCCACCUUGGGAGGGGGUCGGCCCCACUGGGACUGGUGAACGGCCCAGACUCCUCCGGGGGGCAGCAGUAGGGAAUCUUCGGCAAUGGGGUGAACCCUGACCGAGCAACGCCGCGUGAGUGCAGAAGGUUUUCGGAUCGUAAAGCUCUGUUGUUAAGGAAGCGGUACUUAACCAGAAAGGGACGGCUAACUACGUGCCAGCAGCCGCGGUAAUUC
rnacentral:rRNA from 1 species